UUUAUUAAAAAUUUUACCCAGUCAAAGUGUAUCACAUCAAUUGGGUGAGUGCGACGUAAGAAAGAAAGCAAUUACUUCAAUGUCCACAUAAAGCUACUAACAAACAUGGGAUAUAAAUCUCACAGCACUAGCAAUGAACCUCAUUAUUUGGAAAAAAGAGUGUUCAAGAAAACAUUUUCAGAAGCAAUAUCCAACCUGAAGAAUAUCACCCUCUCUCUCUUGCGGACGCUGGCAGGUCACUUUCAGAAGUGCUGUUAUCUGCCUCUCAUUCAAACGUUUUGAGUAUCUCUGCCCCUCCACAAUCUUGCAGACCUGGAACAUGAUAUAUCUUAGCACAGAAAAUAGAUCAGAUAAUCAAAAGAGACAAAUUUCCAAUGAGAAAUAGGCACUAACUUCCAUUGGCAAGUAAUUAGGUCGCUGCUGAUUUCCAACUUGCAGACAAGGCCACAGGGUAUGCUGAAUGACAAACCCAUAUGUUUCUCGAAAAUAUUCAAUUACGGAUUUAGAAGUACCCUUGUCAUCAACAGGAAAACUACCACAAAAAAAAAAGGAAAAAAAAUAAUAAAUAAAGGAUCAGCACCAAGAAAGAUUCAAAGAAGGUAUUCUGACAGAAAAUGGAAGGUCAGCAUGUAGUAACACCACUGCUUACAGCUAAACACAAUGACCUUAUACGAAAGGAUCUAUACUAUAGAUAACUAAAACGAAGCCCACAUACGUCAACUCUCUUGUUGCUUGAGAUGUCAAAUUUGCAAUGCGGUACUUCCGACGCAUAUUUCCACGAUGAGUAACCUCCACCUUCACACCUCUCAGUGCUUUUUUUAUCUGCAGCUCAAUAUCAUCAAUUUUACAGUGUCAGAAAAACAACCUCCAUAACGAAGUAAAGCAGCAUACCUAGAAAGUACGAUCUGCUACACGCAAGAUGAAAAGGACAGGACACCUCAAAACAAUGACCAAAACAUUAGAACAACAUUUCAUAAAAGAAUACAAAAGCUCACCUUUACACGGUCAGCAUCAGACAGUGGUCUAGAUGAGACAUCACGGUUCAGAAGUUGUGUCACAAAAUCAAUGACCGGCAAUGGCUCAAUAAAGGCAGUGGAAGACAUAUCUGUACAUUGAUACACAAAAUAGAACAUCAUAUGAUCAUUUUAAUUUGCAGUCGGGAGUAUAAAAUGUCAUACUUCAAGGAACAUAGUAAAAUUCAGUUCCAGCAAAAGUCAAGAUUCCACUUACCGAUGUUCAGUGAUAAUCCCAUCUGGGUAGGGCGAAUGCUUUGAUAGAAACCACGCCAACUCUCUAAACCUUCACCCAAUGGUUGCCUUCGCCCUAAAUCAGGGGAAUAGAAAGAACGACCCACAGGACAAUACCUGACAUGUAACAAAUUAUAGAAAUUUAUAAAAAUGAUAUUCAUAAGUAAGCAAUUUUCAAUGUACAUCAUCACAAUGAACAGAAACUUCAAAAACAUGUACUACAUUCAAAAACCGUGCCUAGAUGUUGGCAACUCUCGCAAAACAAUAUCCAGAACUUGCAGCGCCUCUUGAGGAGCAUCAGCUUGCCUGCCGUCUAAAAACAUCCCCAAGUGAUGCAGAUCAGCACGUGAAGCGAAUUUGAUCUAACCCGGCUACACAAGAUCUCUCCUGAUGGCUUGCUACAACCCACACCCUUCCGCUAGCCUUUUACCCUUAACCGCGACCUCAACACUUUCCUAUCUACCUCUCAAACUGCUUCCUUGGUAUUAAUUUCCUCUUUCAUUUUUCCUGAUGGUUUUGACUAUCAUCGAGUAUGGAAAAUAAAGAAAUUUUUGCAAUAAGUUGUAUAUAUAUAACAUACCAAAAGUACCCUUAAAAUCGUUGUCUUUAAAAUGUCGAGUCACUUCAAUAUGCGAAUGUCAUUAAGGCUAAAAUGAGAAUGUUACUAAUAAACUGUUUUCGAAUAGAAAGGUGUAGAUCUUUUGGAAUGGACCGUAAAGAAAAGAGUGUCAAGAAUAUUAUUCGCAAAGAGAUAUAUUAAUUGUUAAAAGAGAAAUUGUUACUUUCUUGCAUUACAAAUAUUUUUUUCUUCACUGUGCCUUUUUCAACUAAAACCCCACCCUUAAACUGCACAUUGCGUUAAAAGCCACAAUAGACCUGGAACACUUUCAAGGAUUUCCGCCUUUGACAACACUGGCUGUUGGGACCAACUUGCACAAAUUAAAUUGACAGGAAUGGUCCAUUUCAAAUUCAUUCACCACUACGUCGCACCCUGGAUAUGUGAUUAUUCAUCUGAUAACCAACCAGUAAUAGGUGAAGGAAAAACUCUGAACUUAAUGAGUGGCUACAGUCAUCACAUGUCAAAAGAUUUCUGUGUUCACGUUCAGAAUCUAUUUUCUCUUGAAAAUGAAAACUCGACUAACCCCAUAUGCACUCUUCAGUUGUCAACAAGCACAGUUGCCCGUCUGCCGGAUGCCCUGACAACUGAGGGGUUUACAGGAAUUCCAGAAACAUAGAAUCCUCAUUUUCAAUGUAUUGGAAGUUUAUUUGGAAGAACACCACUACUUUGCCUUCCAAAGUUUAUAAAGGCGACAUACAGGAGAAUACUUGAGACUUUAAAAAAUACAACUUUCUCCCACCUCAAACUAUAACAGCUCCAAAUUUGUUCCUGAAUAGCAUAACCUAUCUCAGAGGUAGAGAAUCUGUUUCCAAUAGACCCUCGGCAAAUCGGCUUUUGGGGAAAUAAGCAGUCCCAAAAAGGAAAAAUGGAAGUACAAAAAACAACACAUCAUAAUAAUAGAAACAACCAAUAGCUACAGAACAAAAAUUACAACAAAACAAUACUAUAAUCGCAGUACAAGAAACAACAGGUAGUAAAAAACAAGAGCAAUUCUACAAGAUCAAUGCACAAAAUACAAAACAAAUUCUUCAUAGCUUUACAAAAACAAACAAAUUACAACUAUUUCUCCACAAUUAACUCAACAAAUAGUCCAAACCCAAAAGACAAAAACUACCAAACAUGCAAAACAAUCUAUUCCACCAAAAAGAAACUAAAACUAAGAAACAACAAAUGGGGUUAGUAAAACAAACCUCAUUUUCAAGAUUUGACACCUUAUCAAGUAACAAAACUUUGUCAACAGUAUCACCAGAAUCUUUUUAAAUUAUGCACUCAAAUUUUAGCACUCAAAUUAUGUGUAUGGAAGUGAAAAAUCAAAGAAUUUAAGGGUAACAUUGUCAUUUUAUGGUUUUAUCCCAUGUAAGAAUAAUGUUGGGAUUGUUAUCCCACCAAUUGGGAGGAUAACUUAUCCCGGGACUAAUUAUUAGUCCCGGGAUAAGUUAUUCCAAAUAUUUACAACCAAACGACGGAUGAAAAGUUUUAUCCCGGGAUUAUUUGCAAACCAAACGGCCCCUCAUUGUAUUCCUCCUCGUGGUAGAAAAACAUGUACAGCAAAAAGAUCCAUUCACAAGCAACUAUCAUAAUUGGCUAGGCAAUAGAACUUACUGUCAAUGUCUGUCCUAGUUUAUGUCACGUACUAUUCUUUUUUUGUCCGUCCCAAAAAAUUGAUACCUUCAUAUAUCUAAAAACAAUUUUUUGAACUUAUCACUUUACCCUUAAUGAGAUGAUUUAUAGCCACACAAAUAUCUAUGGCUUGUUAUAGACCGUAUGUCUAAAAAAAGACUCUCGUCCUUUAUUAAAAAUUUUACCCAGUCAAAGUGUAUCACAUCAAUUGGGUGAGUGCGACGUAAGAAAGAAAGCAAUUACUUCAACGUCAAGCUAAUUGCUUCAAUGUCCACAUAAAGCUACUAACAAACAUGGGAUAUCAAUCUCACAGCACUAGCAAUGAACCUCAUUAUUUGGAAAAAAGAGUGUUCAAGAAAACAUUUUCAGAAGCAAUAUCCAACCUGAAGAAUAUCACCCUCUCUCUCUUGCGGACGCUGGCAGGUCACUUUCAGAAGUGCUGUUAUCUGCCUCUCAUUCAAACGUUUUGAGUAUCUCUGCCCCUCCACAAUCUUGCAGACC
rnacentral:lncRNA from 1 species